AUUGAACGCUGGCGGCAGGCCUAACACAUGCAAGUCGAGCGGAUGAAGGGAGCUUGCUCCUGGAUUCAGCGGCGGGCGGGUGAGUAAUGCCUAGGAAUCUGCCUGGUAGUGGUGGAUAACGUCCGGAAACGGGCGCUAAUACCGCAGACUUCCUGAGGGAGAAACUGGGGGAUCUUCGGACCUCACGCUAUCAGAUGAGCCUAGGUCGGAUUAGCUAGUUGGUGGGGUAAGCGCCUGCCAAGGGGGCGAUCGGUAACUGGUCUGAGAGGCUGAUAAGUCACACUGGAAGUGAACCACGGACAUGGCUACUGCGAGAAGCGCCAGAGGCCAAUGUGGGACAAUAGGGGGAAGUAUGAUACACACAUGCCGCGUGUGUGAAGACGACCUUCGGAUUGUAAAGCACUUUAAGUUGGGAGAAAGCGCAGUCAGUUAUUACCUUGCUGUUGUGACGUUAACGAGAGAAUAAGCACCGGCUAACUUCGUG
rnacentral:rRNA from 1 species